rnacentral:sRNA from 1 species
CCCAGCUGCUGCCCGUUCUGAACCACAAGACCUACAUUGAUCUGAUCUUCCCAGACUGCCUGGCACCACGAGUCAUGUUGGAACCAGCUGCUGAGACCAUUCCUCAGACCCAAGAGAUCAUCAGUGUCACGCUGCAGGUGCUUAGUCUCUUGCCACUGUACAGACAGUCCAUCUCUGUUCUGGCCGGGUCCACCGUGGAAGAUGUCCUGAAGAAGGCCCAUGAGUUAGGAGGAUUCACAUAUGAAACACAGGCCUCCUUGUCAGGCCCCUACUUAACCUCCGUGAUGGGGAAAGCGGCCGGAGAAAGGGAGUUCUGGCAGCUCCUCCGAGACCCCAACACCCCACUGUUGCAAGGUGAGUCAUGGCCUGACACCCUGGAUGUGUCCCCUACCCCAAGCUUACCCAGCCAAGAGGCUUCGUCAACUCACCCCAGCUUUCCCUAGCACCCUCCUGGGCCACAGCUUCACAAAAUCACUGAUGCUCAAAGUUGGAUAUAAUAUAUUGAACUGAAGCCUUAGAAUUUUUAUGCAAGUUAUUGUGGAAAUUCUAGGAAACCAGACAGAUUAC